rnacentral:rRNA from 1 species
AUGGCUCAGGAUGAACGCUGGCGGCGUGCCUAAUACAUGCAAGUCGAGCGAACCACUUCGGUGGUGAGCGGCGAACGGGUGAGUAACACGUAGGUGAUCUGCCCAUCAGACGGGGACAACGAUUGGAAACGAUCGCUAAUACCGGAUAGGACGAAAGUUUAAAGGUGCUUCUGGCACCGCUGAUGGAUGAGCCUGCGGCGCAUUAGCUAGUUGGUAGGGUAAAGGCCUACCAAGGCGACGAUGCGUAGCCGACCUGAGAGGGUGAACGGCCACACUGGGACUGAGACACGGCCCAGACUCCUACGGGAGGCAGCAGUAGGGAAUCUUCGGCAAUGGGCGAAAGCCUGACCGAGCAACGCCGCGUGAAUGAUGAAGGCCUUCGGGUUGUAAAAUUCUGUUAUAAGGGAAGAACGACUUUAGUAGGAAAUGGCUAGAGUGUGACGGUACCUUAUGAGAAAGCCACGGCUAACUACGUG